CUCAGGCGCAGUGGGCCGGUGCCGCCGACGAGAGUGCACUACUCCGUGCGCAGGCGCAGUGGGCCCGGGCAGAAGACCUGGGGCGCGCUGCUCACUGCGCAGGCGCAGUGAGCCCAGGCGGGCAGCCCUGGCCAGCAGCUCUUGUCCCUGUGGCUGGAGGCUGAAGUCCACGUAGGCCCCGGCGGGGAGCCGCUGGGGUGUAGGCCGGGUGCCUUUGUCCAAGCCUGGCGCCACUGCCCAGACACUUUACUUCAAAUUUGGCUUUAUUUUCAUCAUUGAUAUUGAUUAAAAUGACAUUCACUUGCCCGGAAAGUAAAAGAGGUCUUCAGCACAAAAUAUUGCUCCAACAAGCAAGCAUAAAUCACUGAGAUUGAAAUGUCAUCUAUCUUUAUUGGCCAACCACAUAAUCUCCAUGAAAAUUCUCAACAGAGAGCAAGGAACUCACUUUCUUCUAAGCAAAGACAAUUUGGAUUUGCCUCGUGGCACUGGCAUCUCUUCAUGUCUGGACGUCAGAUGUUAGCUUGGUGCCUUUCUCCCUUAUCAGGGGGACAUUUUGAACCCAGCCGCACCAAUGUUCUCAUGGAUGGUGGCCUUCGAUUCUUCUAGAUUCAAGAUUUGGCUCUUGUACUUUUCCUGCCAGUCCUCUACAAUGUACUGGUGGUAGGGGUCAUUGGAGUGUUCCCGUCUCUUGGAUUUCACAGUGCUCACCAGGAUGGCCACGAUGAUGAAAGAGAACAUUCCAAUCAUCACCAUGAGGUACAGGAUGACAUAGUAGAAGUUCUCAGCAUCAACUUUGGCUUGGAGGGCCUCUUGCUCAGCUGUUGUGUUCUGGCGCCAAUUGUCCAUAUAAGUAAUAAAAAUCCUUCGGAAGACGUCUUCCAGCGUCUGUGUGAAAUUGGAUAAAGUAGACAUGCUUCCCUCCUGCUGCAAUUUAAAUAAUAAAAUAGGCGAACAAGAGAAUUGUGGGGCAUUAUGAGAUAACAUCAAGAGAAAAGAUUGCAGGGGGCAUUGACAGACUCUCCAAUUUGUUCCAUCCCCUAUGUCUAAGUGGCACAUUGUCCCAAGUAUCCUAAAGGGAGGGGUGUGUACAUCUAUAUUUGAAAGAAGCAUUUUAGGAUGUUUAGUGAGAUUCAGUAACUGAGUCCCGAUGACAGGAGAGCUUG
rnacentral:lncRNA from 1 species